CAACUCUCAGUGAUAAUUACGAUGAAACCUAACGAGUUGCUGUUGAAUACUACAACAAUGAAAAACAAAUUGCCGUCAGAAUAGCGCUAAAAUAGCUGAAUAUUAAAAUCACUACUGCUGCUAUUGGCAUUUUUUGUCGAUUAAACGUUUCAAUGAUAUACAUAAAUAUAUACAUACAUUUUUUGUUUAUCGUAUGUACACUACUACUAUAUUUUAUUAUGGUUUUAGGUGUUUGUUUCUAUUUU